CAGCUGGGGAAAAGGAUAGGACUUCUUUUAAACUCAACAAAACUUUUAAGCUCUGAUCCCGGAAAAGCCUUUACAUACCCCGACGUGCCAGGAACUGCUAAAGGCAAAGCUGGAGUUACUGCUAUGGCUCCACUAAGGGAAGCGGUGCAUGCCCAGACCAGAACACCAGGCCUCUCUGACCAGUGGACAUCAACCUCCAUCAGCCCAACUCAGGUUUAGCUGGUAACAACCAGCGAGCAAAGGUGUAUUCAGCCCUGCAAGCCCUAUAAUCCAGAUGCAGAGCUGCAACCUGCAGGAUUCCCUUGCAAAGACAAGUUGCCUCUGGUAUCCAGCCACGUGAAGAGAUUAAAAGCCAUGCCAGAAUCAGACGACUGGAACUGGAGCCCAGAGCAGACAUGGAUCCGAUCACACCUGACACACUGAACUCCUUCAGCCACUAAGGAGAGGAUCCCUGUGGCCUAGGGAAAAGCAGAGACCGGAGUAAAUGGAGCCUUCACGUUCUCCAGGUGUACCAUGCUAACGGGGGCAGGGGGAGGGGAAACACAGCUAAUAAUCAGGGCAGCAGAACAUGCCACGACUGCCUUCCAGUCUCCAUGGCUGUUCCAUGUCAGAGAGGUUUGUCUGUAUGAGAGAAAUGAUGCUCAGCAAUGUUCCCUCUAAUUUUUUUCAUCCAUGUGCAGAAUGAAUUUUGUUAUGUGCAGUACCAAUAUCGAGGUAAUAUGCAGACAUGCGCCAUCACCUCCAUACUUUCAAGGCAGCCCUUAUCCCACUAAGAGCUCACAGCGUCCUACGGCUAGUACCCAGCUGGGUCUUAGGGAAAGUCUGUCUUCAGGUGACGGCUGCGGUACCCCUAUCUGUUCAUUCCUACAGCGUCCCUCCACAAGGAUCAGUACAUGCUUUGCAAACUAUACAUAGAAAUGCAUCACUGAAAUGCAGCCACCUCUGGGAAGGAAGGUCAGUAGCCAGUGAAGCCAAUAGCACAGAGAGCACUAUGCAGUAGUUUGAAAAGAGAAAGGGAAUUUUGGAUAGGAAGAAUCUUUUCCUCUUAUGCAAAAUGCUUGAGAUAUUUAAUGUUCAGACAGGGCUUCAUCUGUAAAGGUCUCAUCUGAAUGUAAAAUGUAAUACUGCAAUUUAGAAAUCAAAGUAAAUGUUUCUUUUUAAAUCAGGACACUAAGGCUCAAAAUAAUUUUUAAAAACACUCAAAUCCCCCUUACUACCAUCCUCUUGUAUU